GGUCAGGACACGGUAAGGAUUGACGGACUGAAGGCUCUUUCUCGAUUCCGUGGAAAGUGGUGCAUGGCCGUUUUUGGUUGGUGGAUCGAUCCGUCUGGUUAAUUCCGUUAACGAACGAGACCUCGGCACUCCGAAUAGCGCGGCGGACGUCGCGGCCUCCGGGCCGUCUUCCGCACGAGCUUCUUAGAGGGACCGUCCCCCGCCGGGGAAGGAGGUGCGAGGCAACGACAGGUCUGUGAUGCCCUUAGAUGUUCUGGGCCGCACGCGCAUUACACUGACGCGUCCAACGGGUGACUCCCGACCCGAAGGGGCCGGGGAAUCCGCAAGGCGCGUCGUGAUGGGGAUUGAACGUUGCAAUUGUUGUUCACGAACGAGGAAUUCCUAGUAGGCGCGGGUCAUCAACCCGCGCCGAUUACGUCCCUGCCCUUUGUACAC
rnacentral:rRNA from 1 species